AGUGGGUUGACUUAGUGGUUAGAGUUUAGGUCUGAUAACCGAAAGGUCGCGGGAUCGAAUCCCGCUAGAGACUG
rnacentral:tRNA from 1 species